rnacentral:rRNA from 1 species
CCUACGGGGGGCAGCAGUGAGGAAUAUUGGUCAAUGGACGCAAGUCUGAACCAGCCAUGCCGCGUGCAGGAAGACGGCUCUAUGAGUUGUAAACUGCUUUUGUACGAGGGUAAACGCAGAUACGCGUAUCUGUCUGAAAGUAUCGUACGAAUAAGGAUCGGCUAACUCCGUGCCAGCAGCCGCGGUAAUACGGAGGAUUCAAGCGUUAUCCGGAUUUAUUGGGUUUAAAGGGUGCGUAGGCGGUCGGAUAAGUUAGAGGUGAAAUCCCGAGGCUCAACUUCGGAAUUGCCUCUGAUACUGUUCGUCUAGAGAGUAGUUGCGGUAGGCGGAAUGUAUGGUGUAGCGGUGAAAUGCUUAGAGAUCAUACAGAACACCGAUUGCGAAGGCAGCUUACCAAGCUACUUCUGACGUUGAGGCACGAAAGCGUGGGGAGCAAACAGGAGUAGAUACCCGAGUAGUC